ensembl:lncRNA
AUACAAAGCCUGGCCCAAUUACCUCAAUUUAACUCACCUCUGAAGGCUCUUCCUAGCUCCAGAGCUUCCCAGAAUCGACCAAGUCCUGGGUGCAACAGCGUCAGAGAUAAGAACAGUUCAAAAGACAAAAACUUCAAGGAACUUGGUCAAGGUCACAAAACCGAAUGCCUGCCACAUAAUAAGGGCUCAAUGAUAAAAAUCAUUUCUAUAAUUUGUUGACCUGUAAACAUGGUCCAGGUGCUGAAACACAUGCAUCAUCUAAAGCUCAAAACUCCCAUGAGGAACAAACUUUCUAAAAAAUUCUGCUGCUUAAUAGAAUGGACUGCCAUGUAAACAACUUGACUGAGAUUGUCAAGCAUCUGUUUCUCCUGUGGAAGGAAGUCACGUAUGAGGCUUUCAAGGUUUCUAUACUUUGGGGAAUUGACUUGGUUUCACGAAAGGAUGAAUUAGGAGUCAUACACCUGGAUUCUACUCCAAGCUCUAUCAAGUAACUGUGUGAACUUAACAACUGUUGUCACCAUAAAGGAAGUUGUGCAAGUGAGUGAUAAACCAUGACUUGGUCAAUGCUACCUACUUUUAGAGAUUGGGCAAUAAAAACUGCUUAUUAAUUUAUGUAACUCUGGAUCUACUGAUUAUUUCUGAAACAAGAAGUCAUCGUUCUUGGUUUUUUUUGAGGAAGAUUAGCCCUGAGCUAACAUCUGCUGCCAAUCCUCCUUUUUUUGCUGAGGAAGAUAGGCCCUGAGCUAACAUCCGUGACCAUCUGCCUCUACUUUAUAUGCAGGAUGCCUGCCACAGCAUAACCUCAUAAGUGGUGCAUACGUCCGCCUGGGAUUUGAACCAGCAACUUCAUAAGCAGUGGGUAGGUCCAAGCCCGGGAUUUGAACUGGCAAACCCUGGACCACCAAAGCGAAGCCCGCAAACUUAACUGCUGUGCCACCAGGCUGGCCCCUUAUCAUUCUGUUUAAUUGUAAGACUAUCUUGUAAUAUCUUUAGAAUAUGCAAUGGUCGACUCCACUCGCCCCCAUAAGAGUUCAUUCUGAUAAUCAAGUUGUUGUAUCUGGAAAACACUUACCUCAUCUUCUACGUGCUUUUUACUAUUCACCUCAAAAAGUUAGACUUCUGGAAAUCAGCUAAAUAUUUCAGUCAAAAUAAAAGGUAAAGCAGUAGAGAAAACAAGAUGGCUUACAUUCCCUCUUCUCUUUACUGAAUAAAACUGGUCCUUAAAAAAACCCACUACCCCAUAUGGUGGCAUUUUAUUAGCAGUCCAAAGCCAGUUCUGGCAAAUAUAAAAGCUUUAGAUUGGAAAGGACCGUUUAGUCAGCCUGGUUCAUGUAAAGCCAUUUUAAUAGCCCUUGAGUAGAUGAAUCAACUCUCAAUUACUGACAUAUAAGCCAGCAACAAAUAGGAAAAUGAAUAUAUUUAGUGUCUAGGCCCCAUCACUAUGAAGCAAACAGAAUUUCAGUCGACUUUGAACAGGCCUGGCUCCCUUGCUGAUCAUUACAUUAGUCAAACUCAGUGGCCUUUUCCAGAAAUACCUACAACAGUUGGCACAGGUGGCUCUAAGAGGCACUUUUUUUGGCAACUUCUAACAAUAAUUCCAAGACAAAUAGACAUUGAGAAUGUAUUCACCCUUAAACUACUCAGAGAUAACAUUUCAGUUAAUGAAUAAUAAUUCUUUAGCACUUUCCAGAGCCUUCCUGUAUUUUGGUUAUGUAAUCAUUACAAAAUCAUUACUCCAUGUCAUUAUUCAGGUAAAGUCUUCAAAAUUGUAAGUUGAAACUGAAGAGCAGAAAUGCACUUAAGAUAAUAACGUGGAAUACAUUCACUCUUUGAAUUACAAUAGACAGGCAGCUAGCUAUUUGAGGGUUUUAAUUUUCAGAAAAAAUAUAGAACAUUCUAGAAAUGUUUAUUUUCUCCUGUCUUCCAUCUCUACUCCUUCUAAGUAUGAAUGCCUGGCAAGAUGGGGCUCCAUAUUUGUUUCCUCUGUGCACUCUCUGACAGUUCGUAUCUUAUGCAUCACCACAAUUCUUAAGUGAAAGCAUAUCUGAGAUUUCAAAACAAAAGACUAUAUAACAAAGCCCUUCUUUUCUAGCUCAAUGGAAGAAAACUCUGGGUCUAAAAACCUCUCUAAGCAGGUGUUAGGCCAGAAUUAGUAGAUGUUAAGCUUCUUGAGAGCAGGGGCUAUAUCUUGUCUAUGCUUAUGGAUACCCCAGGGCCUAGUACAAUGCUUGUUAUUUUAUAAAUACUCAGAAAAUAGUUAUCAAUGGAAUGAACACGGAAAUAUCCCUGUACUUUCAUUUCAAGAGGUAGAAGAUUUGGGGGAGUGGAAAUAGCCGACCAUCACUGACUUAGCAGAAUAAAGCAAUGCUCAGAACUCAUAUGAGAGGUAGCUGCAUAUGCAGGCCAAUCUUUUACUCUGAGACAAUGUAUUAUAGUGAGAGAGAACUGCGUUAUUUUAUUUCAUGUCAGUAAACUGAGUUUUUGCACUAUUUUUUUCAUUUCUUUUGUUGUGAACUCGUGCAAAUCAUGUCAGUUCUCUGAGCCAUAGUUUUAUCACCUAUAAAAUGGGAAAAGCAAUAGCGCCCUGAGUAGCUCACAGCUUAUCCUAAGUGCCAGCUGAGUUGCUCUACAUAUGAAAUGUGACAACUUUGUCAUGACAUGCAGAGCACAGUACUGUGCAGGCUCACCCUUUCUUCAGAAAGACAGCUGUAAGUCCUGCAAGAUUCUUAAAUCAUCAAUUCAAAUAUUUUUCCUAUGAUAUGCUAAAUUAAUGCUAGAAAUUACAAAUACUGCUUUUGUAAAUUUUUUGUCAUAAAAUUUAGAACAAAAGAAGUGGCUUUUGCAAUUAUGAAGAUCAAUUCUCAAGAAAUACCAUUCUAACCAUAUUUGCAAAGAAAAAUUUUUAAUAUGGCUCUUACUAUUUAAGUAGAAACCUGGCAAAACACUAUGAGACAAUAUGACACAGCCUAAAUAAAAGACCAUUUGACUAUGUUGGUAUUUUAGGUAAAGAAUAUUUUACACCCAGAAUCCCUGCUGGAAAUGACGGAACGUACAUCUUCACAGGGAAUGCUGCUGGCAGAUGGCAUUCCACUGUCCAUCCACCUUGUUCAAGGUCAUGCCACCCUCCAGGGAAGCCCACAGCCGAUGACUGAUUGACACAGAGCCCUUUGCCCUGCCUUAGACAGCUCUGAAGGGUCACUCCAGCUUCAAAGCUCCUCAUAGUGUUAGCUGAGGCCUCCGCUGAGACUGCCUCACAGGUCAGCUCCUCCCUCAGCCCAAUCCUGCUUCCUUCCCUCCCACGGUGUGGAUCCCAAGAGAACUCCUGAAUCAACCUCCUGCAUGUGAAUCUCCAUCUCAGAAUCUGCUUCUCAUGGAGCCCAACCUGCAACAACUCUCAAAAUAAAUGUAGUAACUUUUGCAAAUAGAAACUACUGCAUAUUCCCUAGAUUGCACAAUAGUAGAACAAACAGUGUGUCUUACCUUGUUUUUCUGUAGCAUAUCAACAUCCUCAAAGCAUUUUCACAUUCCUGGUCUAGUGUGGUCUCAAUAACUAGGAAGAAGGUAGGGCAAGUCGUGUCACUCCCAUAUUAAAUAUGAGGAAUUGAAGCUCACAGAAGUUGAAUAACUUAACCAAGUUUACUUCAAUACAUACGUAGGUGGGUAGGGAAGGAGGUAGUUGGUCGUUUAGUUAGUGGCAAACUUGGAAUCUAGUUUUAAUUUUCUGAUUUGUCAACCAUGCCUUACUUGACCAUACACUGUUUUUCCUCAUGAAAACUUAAUAUAUGUUUGUGGUUUUUAUCCUGUGUAGCUAGAAUUUAAUGACUCACUUAUGGACAGUUUUAGGAGUUCAUUUUAAAAUAUCUAACAUCUCAAAACUCCUUAUGAAAUCUGUCAAUAUCCUGAAAUAUCAAGAUACUGGAAAUGGGAAUAAGUGUUCUAUGGUUAGAGACGAUUUCUUUCCAUGUUUCUUGUUGUUAAAAAUCUUGGAGUUGUUCUAUUUCCUGACUGAUCUUCACCCAUAAUAAAGUACUUGGGACACAUAGGAUGUGUUCCUCAAGUAAAAAGUGAAAACUUUUAUUUUCUCCAGUUUGUGAAAGACUUGUAUAUAUGAUUACUUGACCCCCAAGUAAUCUCGUACUUGCUAUCUUAAUCAUACAAACUCUGUCCAGUCUCUCUUUUCAUACACACACACACACACACACACACACAC